rnacentral:tRNA from 1 species
CCGUCGAUAGCUCAGUUGGCAGAGCGGUGGACUGUAGAUCCAUAGGUCAGCUGGUUCGAAUCCGGCUCGACGGA